GGGCUAGUAUGAAUGAAUAAACAAAUUUCGUCUGUCUCACCUUUAACAAUAUAAAUUAAUCUUUAAGUGAAGAGGCUUAAAUUUCUUAAAAAGACAAGAAGACCCUAAUAAGCUUUAUUUAUUUAAAAUUUUUUAAAUUUUACUAAAUUUUAUUGGGGCAAUAAAAAAUAAAAAAAAUCAUUUUAAUUUUAAAGAAUAACAAUUCAAUAUAAUAAACUUUUCUAUAAAAAAGAGAUAGCUACUAUAGGGAUAACAGGCUAAUACUUUUUAAGAGCUCUUAUCAACAAAAGUGAUUGGCACCUCGAUG
rnacentral:rRNA from 1 species